UCCGAAUUGGUGUAGUGGCUAACAUUUGACGCUCUCAAGGUUCGAAAGAUCCAAAGGUCCGUCAAGCCCGGGGUUCGAUUCCCCGAUUCGGAG